AACGAACGCUGGCGGCAUGCCUAACACAUGCAAGUCGAACGAGAUCUUCGGGUCUAGUGGCGCACGGGUGCGUAACGCGUGGGAAUCUGCCCUUUGGUUCGGAAUAACAGUUGGAAACGACUGCUAAUACCGGAUGAUGACGAAAGUCCAAAGAUUUAUCGCCAGAGGAUGAGCCCGCGUAGGAUUAGCUAGUUGGUGUGGUAAAGGCGCACCAAGGCGACGAUCCUUAGCUGGUCUGAGAGGAUGAUCAGCCACACUGGGACUGAGGCACGGCCCAGACUCCUACGGGAGGCAGCAGUGGGAAAUAUUGGACAAUGGGCGAAAGCCUGAUCCAGCAAUGCCGCGUGAGUGAUGAAGGCCUUAGGGUUGUAAAGCUCUUUUACCCGGGAUGAUAAUGACAGUACCGGGAGAAUAAGCUCCGGCUAACUCCGUGCCAGCAGCCGCCGUAA
rnacentral:rRNA from 1 species